rnacentral:rRNA from 1 species
CAACCUCGCCCCUGACUCUGGGAUAAGCGCUGGAAACGGCGUCUAAUACUGGAUAUGUCCCGUCACCGCAUGGUGUGCGGGUGGAAAGAUUUUUCGGUUGGGGAUGGGCUCGCGGCCUAUCAGCUUGUUGGUGAGGUAAUGGCUCACCAAGGCGUCGACGGGUAGCCGGCCUGAGAGGGUGACCGGCCACACUGGGACUGAGACACGGCCCAGACUCCUACGGGAGGCAGCAGUGGGGAAUAUUGCACAAUGGGCGGAAGCCUGAUGCAGCAACGCCGCGUGAGGGAUGACGGCCUUCGGGUUGUAAACCUCUUUUAGCAGGGAAGAAGCGAAAGUGACGGUACCUGCAGAAAAAGCACCGGCUAACUACGUGCCAGCAGCCGCGGUAAUACGUAGGGUGCAAGCGUUAUCCGGAAUUAUUGGGCGUAAAGAGCUCGUAGGCGGUCUGUCGCGUCUGCUGUGAAAUUCCGAGGCUCAACCUCGGGCUUGCAGUGGGUACGGGCAGACUAGAGUGCGGUAGGGGAGAUUGGAAUUCCUGGUGUAGCGGUGGAAUGCGCAGAUAUCAGGAGGAACACCGAUGGCGAAGGCAGAUCUCUGGGCCGUAACUGACGCUGAGGAGCGAAAGGGUGGGGAGCAAACAGGCUUAGAUACCCUGGUAGUCCACCCCGUAAACGUUGGGAACUAGUUGUGGGGUCCUUUCCACGGAUUCCGUGACGCAGCUAACGCAUU